rnacentral:rRNA from 1 species
AAAGGCAAGGCUGAGAAGCGUAGCUGAUGGACAACAGGUUUAGAUUCCUGUACCACAUGGUAUCAGAACUGUGGGGACGCAGAGGGAUAAGAUGACCGGGGGACAGAUCCCCGGGCAAGCGCAGGAGGUGUCAGACAGGCAAAUCCGUCUGACAAGCCAAAGGCGUGACGCGGACCGAACUAAAGUAGGGAAGCAUCUGAUUCCAGCUGCCGAGAAAAGCCGCUAUUGUGUACCAUGUGCCCGUACCGUAAACCGACACAGGUGGAUGAGGAGAGAAUCCUAAGGCCGGCGGGAGAAGCAUUGUUAAGGAACUCGGCAAAAUGACCCCGUAACUUCGGGAUAAGGGGUGCCAGAGAGAUCUGGCCGCAGAGAAUAGGCUCAAGCAACUGUUUAGCAAAAACACAGGUCUAUGCGAAACCGUAAGGUGAUGUAUAUGGGCUGACGCCUGCCCGGUGCUGGAAGGUUAAGAGGAGAGGUUAGAGCAAUCGAAGCUUUGAAUUGAAGCCCCAGUAAACGGCGGCCGUAACGAUAACGGUCCUAAGGUAGCGAAAUUCCUUGUCGGGUAAGUUCCGACCCGCACGAAAGGCGUAAUGAUUUGAGCGCUGUCUCGACAAUGCACCCGGUGAAAUUGAAAUACCAGUGAAGAUGCUGGUUACCUGCGCCAGGACGGAAAGACCCCAUGGAGCUUUACUCCAGCUUGAUACUGGGAUUCGGUAAUGCAUGCACAGGAUAGGUGGGAGGCUACGAGUACGGAACUCCGGUUUCGUAUGAGCCGCUGUUGGGAUACCACCCUUGCGUUACUGGGUUUCUAACCAUGGUCCAUGAUCUGGAUCGGGGACAAUGUCAGGUGGGGAGUUUGACUGGGGCGGUCGCCUCCGAAAGGGUAUCGGAGGCGCUCAAAGGUUCCCUCAGAAUGGUUGGAAACCAUUCGAAGAGUGCAAAGGCAGAAGGGAGCUUGACUGCGAGACCGACGGGUCGAGCAGGUAGGAAACUAGGACUUAGUGAUCCGGUGGUAUGAAAGUGGGAUUGCCAUCGCUCAACGGAUAAAAGCUACCCUGGGAUAACAGGCUUAUCACUCCCAAGAGUUCACAUCGACGGAGUGGUUUGGCACCUCGAUGUCGGCUCAUCGCAUCCUGGGGCUGAAGUAGGUCCCAAGGGUUGGGCUGUUCGCCCAUUAAAGCGGUACGCGAGCUGGGUUCAGAACGUCGUGAGACAGUUCGGUCCCUAUCCGGCGCAGGCGGAGGAUAUUUGAGAGGAGCUGUCCUUAGUACGAGAGGACCGGGAUGGACGGACCGCUGGUGUACCGGUUGAGCUGCUAAGCUCAUGGCCGGGUAGCCAAGUCUGGCAGGGAUAAACGCUGAAGGCAUCUAAGCGUGAAGCCCCCCUCAAGAUGAGAUAUCCCAUUCGAAAGAAGUAAGACCCCUUGAAGACGACGAGGUAGAUAGGGCAGAGGUGGAAGUGCAGUAAUGUACGGAGCUGACUGUUACUAAUCGGUCGAGGGCUUAUCU